rnacentral:tRNA from 1 species
GGUUUUGUGGUGUAGUGGUUAUCACGUCUGCUUAACACGCAGAAGGUCGCGAGUUCGAGCCUCGCCGAAACCU